GGCCUCUUGCCAUCGGAUGUGCCCAGAUGGGAUUAGCUAGUAGGUGGGGUAACGGCUCACCUAGGCGACGAUCCCUAGCUGGUCUGAGAGGAUGACCAGCCACACUGGAACUGAGACACGGUCCAGACUCCUACGGGAGGCAGCAGUGGGGAAUAUUGCACAAUGGGCGCAAGCCUGAUGCAGCCAUGCCGCGUGUAUGAAGAAGGCCUUCGGGUUGUAAAGUACUUUCAGCGGGGAGGAAGGGAGUAAAGUUAAUACCUUUGCUCAUUGACGUUACCCGCAGAAGAAGCACCGGCUAACUCCGUGCCAGCAGCCGCGGUAAUACGGAGGGUGCAAGCGUUAAUCGGAAUUACUGGGCGUAAAGCGCACGCAGGCGGUUUGUUAAGUCAGAUGUGAAAUCCCCGGGCUCAACCUGGGAACUGCAUCUGAUACUGGCAAGCUUGAGUCUCGUAGAGGGGGGUAGAAUUCCAGGUGUAGCGGUGAAAUGCGUAGAGAUCUGGAGGAAUACCGGUGGCGAAGGCGGCCCCCUGGACGAAGACUGACGCUCAGGUGCGAAAGCGUGGGGAGCAAACAGGAUU
rnacentral:rRNA from 1 species